UAUCUGGUUGAUCCUGCAGUAGUAGUCCAUAUGCUUGUCUCAAAGAUCCUAAGGCCAUGUGCAUGUCUAAGUACAAACCUUAAUACGGUGAAACCUGCGGCGAAAUGGGCUCAUUAAAUCAGCUAUGGUUCCUUAGAUCGUCUCAUCCUAAAUCGGAUAACUGUGGAAAAUCUAGAGCUAAUGACGUGCUUAUAGCAAGCCCUGACCUCGCUCACGGGAGGGGGCGCAUUUAUUAGAUCAAAACCAAUCGGGGCUUGCCGCGUCUGCUUGGUGACUCUGGAUAACUUUUUGUGCUGAUCGCAUGGCCUCUCUGCGACGUAUCUUUCAAGUGUCUGCCGCUAUGCAAACUUACGGCAUGGGUUAGGUUUGAUAUGCCUACCAUGGUUAUAAGGGUAGGGAAUGCAGGGUUCGAUUCCGGAGAGGGAGCCUGAGAAACGGCUUUACCACAUCUAAAAGCGAAGGCUAGCAGGCGCAGCAAUUACGCCAGCGUCCCGGGCACGGGGAGGUAGUGACGAAAAAUAAAGCGAUACGGGAAUGCCUUUUGAGGCGCGCCGUAAUUGGAAUGAGUACAGCUUUAAAUCCAGAUUAACAAGUAUGCUAUUAGGAGGAGUCUGGUGCCAGUGCAGGGGCCGCGGUAUGAUUCGCAGCUCCAAUAGCGUAUAUUAAUGUUUGCUGCAAAGUUAAAAAGCUCGUAGUUGGAUCUGGAGGACUCCGAUAUGGUGGUGGGCACGGCAUAACGGUGUUAACAAUAUAACUCCGCCGAUUCGGCUACCUAGUCGGUGCUCGCUUCUUGUGUGUCUUAUUGAAUGCCCUGCGUGCCCGGCAAGUUUAUUUGAAAAUAAUUAGAGUGCUCAAGCAGCCAUUAGCGCGGAAUACUUGCAGCAUGGAAUAAUGGAAUAGGACUUCGGUUCUAUUUUGUUGGUUUUCGGAAACCCGAGGUAAAUGAUUAAGAGAGUACGAUGACGGGGGCAUUCUACUGCUGUGUUAGAGGUGAAAUUCUUGAUCGCCGCAAGACGAACAACUGGCGAAAGCAUUUGCCAAGAAUGUUUUUCAUUAAUCAGAAACGAAAAGUCAGAGGUUCGAGGAGACGAUGCAGAUACCGUCCAGUUUGACCAAUAAACGAUGCCAAGCUGCGAUCCGAGAUCGUUGUGUUAUUUUUACCUGCUCGGGGGCAGGCCUCCGGGAAAUCCAAAGUUUUUAGGUUCGGGAGUAUGUUGCAAAGCUGGAACUGUAAAGGAAUUGACCGGAAGGCACCAAACCACGGAGUGGAGCCUGCGGCUUUUUUGACUCAACACGGGAAAACUCACCCGGCCCGGACACUGUUAGGAUUGACAGAUUGAGAGCUCUUUCUUGAUUCGGUGGGUGGUGGUGCAUGGCCGUUCUUAGUUGGUGGAGGCGAUUUGUCUGGUUAAUUCCGGAUAACGAAACGAGACUCUAAGCCUGCUAAAUAGUACGCCGAUACCUUUUCGUCGGUGCUGACUUCUUAGAGGGACAAGCGUCUUGAAGACGCACGAGAUUGAGCAAUAACAGGUCUGUGAUGCGGCCUUAGAUGUUCGGGGCCGCACGCGCGCGCUACACUGAAGGGGACAGGCGAGUUUUUCUGGUUCGAAAGAACCGGGUAAUCUGUUGAAUUCCCUUCGUGACAGGGAUCGGGGCUUGCAAUUAUUCCCCGUGAACGAGGAAUUCCCAGUAAGCGCAAGUCCAUCAGCUUGCGUUGAUUACGUCCCUGCCCUUUGUACACACCGCCCGUCGCUACUACCCGAUUGGAAUGGUUUAGCAAGGUCCUCGAUCUUGGUGCCGACUUGUGGUGGCAACACUAGGUCGGAUACUGAAAAGAAAGAUCAAACUUGAUCAUUUAGAGGAGUAAAAGUCGUAACAAGGUUUCCGUAGGUGAACUGCGGAAGGAUCAUUA
rfam:Macrostomum lignano unitig_42215, whole genome shotgun sequence.